GGAGAGAUGGCCGAGAGGCUUAAGGCGCACGCCUGGAAAGCGUGUAUACGGAAACGUAUCGAGGGUUCGAAUCCCUCUCUCUCCGCCA
rnacentral:tRNA from 1 species